rnacentral:rRNA from 1 species
UACGUAGGGACCAAGCGUUGUUCGGAUUUACUGGGCGUAAAGGGCGCGUAGGCGGCAAUUCAAGUCAUCUGUGAAAUCUCCGGGCUUAACUCGGAACGGUCAGAUGAUACUGCUUUGCUAGAGUGCAGAAGGGGCAAUCGGAAUUCUUGGUGUAGCGGUGAAAUGCGUAGAUAUCAAGAGGAACACCUGAGGUGAAGACGGGUUGCUGGGCUGACACUGACGCUGAGGCGCGAAAGCCAGGGGAGCGAACGGG